rnacentral:rRNA from 1 species
CACGUAGGCACCAAGCGUUGUCCGGAUUUAUUGGGCGUAAAGAGCUCGUAGGCGGUUCGGUAAGUCGGGUGUGAAAACUCUGGGCUCAACCCAGAGCCGCCACCCGAUACUGCUGUGACUCGAGUGCGGUAGGGGAGUGGGGAAUUCCUGGUGUAGCGGUGGAAUGCGCAGAUAUCAGGAGGAACACCGGUGGCGAAGGCGCCACUCUGGGCCGGUACUGACGCUGAGGAGCGAAAGCGUGGGGAGCGAACAGG